rnacentral:misc_RNA from 1 species
AAAAAAAAAAGAAAAAGAAAAGAAGUGGGACCAUGUCUGUAAUGCAAGUUGAAGAAAAAUACAUGUGUCUCUAAUUCCCUAUUUUCCAAUGCAAAUUUGAAGGAUUUCUGCAUAGGCUUUGUCUUAAUAAUCUUUUAUUUAAUUUCUAAUCUGCUUUCAAGUUCUGCCAAAUAAUAAUUGCUGGCUACUUGUGAUGAAAAUUUUUCCAGCUGUUUCAAUCAAUGAAGAGCAACUCAAGAUUCCUCUUUUUAACUCUCA